rnacentral:rRNA from 1 species
AUUGAACGCUGGCGGCGUGCCUUACACAUGCAAGUCGAACGGCAGCACGGGUGCUUGCACCUGGUGGCGAGUGGCGAACGGGUGAGUAAUACAUCGGAACGUACCUUAUCGUGGGGGAUAACGCAGCGAAAGCUGUGCUAAUACCGCAUACGCCCUGAGGGGGAAAGCGGGGGAUCGAAAGACCUCGCGCGAUUAGAGCGGCCGAUGCCUGAUUAGCUUGUUGGUGGGGUAAAAGCCCACCAAGGCGACGAUCAGUAGCUGGUCUGAGAGGACGAUCAGCCACACUGGGACUGAGACACGGCCCAGACUCCUACGGGAGGCAGCAGUGGGGAAUUUUGGACAAUGGGGGAAACCCUGAUCCAGCAAUGCCGCGUGAGUGAAGAAGGCCUCCGGGUUGUAAAGCUCUUUUGUCAGGGAAGAAACACCGGCCCUAACACAGUCCGGGAAUGACGGUACCUGAAGAAUAAGCACCGGCUAACUACGUGCCAGCCGCCGCCGUAA